rnacentral:misc_RNA from 1 species
AACUAACGCUAAAAAAGUUACAGUUUCUGUACUUUAUUGGUAUGAGGAACUUCCAGCCAACUGGCUGCAAUCUUUGCUCGAGGUCUGCGGACC